rnacentral:sRNA from 1 species
GCCAGGCACAGUGGCUUGCGCCUGUAAUCCCAGCUACUCCAGAGGCUGAGGUGGGAGAACCCCUUGAGCCUAGGAGAUUCAGGCUGUAGUGAGCCGACAUCAAGCCACUGCAUUCCAGCCUGGGUGACAGAGCAAGACUCUGUCUCUAAAAAAAAAAUAAUAAAUUAUAUAUAUAUAUGUACUCUUUUCUUUUGCCCAGGCUGGAGUGCAGUUGUGCGAUCUCGGCUCACUACAGCCGACAUGAACACUGCAGCCUCAAACUCCU